GUGGCAUGCAUAGAGUUAACAAUAUAGGAAGCGCUAUCUACAAACCAUUAAGAAAAAAGACAGGCAGUCCCAGAGAAAAAUGAGUGAAAGUCUUGAGCAGGCACUUCACAAAAGAGGCUACCCAAACGGCCAGGAUCGUGGAAAGGCAAAGGCAGAUCAUAGCACAGGGUUUACUUCAUACCCGUGAGAAUGAGUCCAAUGAAGAAAGAAGGUAGCGGCAAACGCUGGCAAAGGCAUGGCGCAACCAGAGCUUUUCCUGAUUCGCUCGUGGAAGUGCAACCAGUACUGCUGCUUUGGCGCUCUCUGCUAAAACUACGAUCUAGCAGUUCCAGUCCCAGGGACAGAACCAACAGAAACACACACACACCCCCCAAUCAGGCAUGCAUACAUACAUAAAGACACAGGCGCGUCUGUGCAUACAUUCACUCACACAUAUUCAUAGGAGCACCGUCUGAAACAGCCAAAAUCUGCACACCUUCCAAACAUUUAACAACCAAACCACGGAUGCUAACUGUGUGCUGUUAAUAACACGGAAGACCGCCCGGCCGCCAGGAUGGAAAACCACGAGGGCACACAGCACGGAUGGAUGUCACGGCCACGAUGACAAGGGGAAGAGGCCAAACACACAAGAGAACAAACACACUGUGUGAUUCCAUUUAUAUAAAGCUGAAACGUAGGCAAAACGCAUCUGUAAUUUUAGCAGUCAAAAGAAUGGUUACCCUCGGAAGGGCGGUCCGUAACAGGAGAGAAGCCCAUGGCAUAUUCUGGAACGGGGUCUGGUAUGUUCUGCUCCUUUGCUUGAUGGGGGUGCUGGUUACAGGCUGUGUGCAUUCUAUGCCCAAUACUUAGGAUCUGCUCACUUUUCUGUACGUGUGUCCUAAUGCCAAUUACAAUUUUCCUUAAAAAAAAAAAAAAAAAAAAAAAAAAAAAAAAAAAACAGCUACACCAACACAUUUCAGUGCCCAUGACGUCAGCUCACGAAAUCUAAAAGAUACAGAUACAUUUCUGAUCACUUUUCUACCGCCUUUUAUGACAGAAAUGUUAAACACUUCAAACCCGCAUUAAACAAACACGUUUGCAAAACUCCAGAUUCAUCCGUCCAAGCCUCGUGCGCUGAGACUGAGCUCGAAAAGGCGCCUGGCUGUUUUAGAGGCUCGUUGCAGUGGGGAGCACUUUUUACGAGAGACAGGGUUUUUUUAAUGAGACAGCAGGGGUGGAGGCCAGGGCUGAAGGGAGUGAGAACCCAGACGACUGAGACGAGAGACAACCCAGCUCCGAACCAGCCGCCCAGGGCUUCGCGUCCGGGGACACGGCUCUGGCCCCGGGAGGCAGGGAGUCUGCGCAGAAGCCAGAGAUGAAAGACGUGCUCAGAGCACCUCCGGAGCGUGAUGGGAGGAGCGACGUCCCAAGGAGGCUCGGGGACCGAGGCCAAAGCACGCUGGUAGAUGACGCGAAGCGACCGCGGGGUUACGGGGAGAGCGGGUGCACGCCCUGACCCAGAGCAGGAAAUAGUGGUUGGGUGUGGGCAGACCUGGGUACACAAGGAAGUGACCUCAGCCCCUCACGGAACAAGGGGAUGUGACCCUGGGUGUGCUCAGACCGGGGGCUGGACGAGCUCGCCUGGCUUACCCGGAAGCCUCUCUCUCUGCUGGGUGUGCCUCUCUAAACACGCACACGCGUCGGCUGUUCCAGCCGCUCCGUGUUAACCGGCGCUGAGCGCUGAGCAGGACUUCGGAGGCUUUCGCUUUCGACGGUCUGGCUGGCGCGCUCCGACAGCGGUCAUCUAGAGCCGGGUUCCUGAGCCCCCCAUCAUCAUCCCAGUCCUUCGCGUGAGGUUGGGGGAGGCAGUGAACCUGAGCUCCAAGAAUUACCAGGAUUUCUCAGAUAAUCUGUCCCCCAGUGACUUCUACCAACAAAAGGAGGCAGAAAACUCAAAACGAAACCCCCCCAAACAGGUAACCCCCCCACCACGUGUAUGUACUCCACUGAGCGGAAUUACCCUCCUCACUGUUUGGCUUGGGCUCCCCCAAAUGCCUGGAAAUGGAGCGGCUGUGUCAGGGGCAGUGGAACACCCCCAAGAAGUGACCCGGGGCAGGGGGAGCAUCCGGGCAUCUCCCUGGUGGCCUGGUCUCGACCUGGCUGCUGCCCUCCGUCCCACCUCCGCCGCUGCCGCCCCUCCCUCCACCUCUUCUUCCCCCACAUGACACCUUCACGCUGACCCCUCACUAAAGAGUCCAGGCAGUGAGGUCCCGUGAGAAGAACCCUGACGCUUGUCCUGCAACGUACAGGCCAGCGGAGUCCAGAACUCCCCUCUCCCUGCACCGUCCAGACUGCGCCAAGAGGUCCUCGCUUUGGGGCAUCUCCUUUCCCCGUUCCGGCCUCAAGGCAGCCUUGCCAAGGGCAGGAGGAAGGUGUCGGCAGAUGAGCGCUCUCUGGGCUGCUGAGUAUCUGACAGCAGGUCGGAUGUUUUAUCGAGGAAGCCACAGCACGUUCUCCAGGGCAAUGAGCAUGGGUUUCCUGCGCUUGGGAGAAGUGCAGGUGCAACUUGGUCUGCGAGGCACAGCAGCCGAGGUAGGGACAGGGAGAGUGAAGGAAAACGGCUCCAAGCCGGGCUCCGACCACUCCCCGUGAGGUCUGCACGGACAGCUUUCCCGGUGUGCUUAAGUUCACGGCCGAGCUCCUGCAGGCGCACCCGGGACCCAGCCGCACCAAGCUGCCCAGGUGACCCCUGGAGCAGGUGGGUGCCCGACAGGGGGACCCUACGGGAAAUGGGCCAGAUGAGGUUUGAGCAGCUCCCUGGAAACAACCUCCUGAACACAAAUGACUACAGGGCGCUGCGCAUGUUGGGGGGCAGGGGGUGGGGGCGAAGAGGAAGACAAUGGCUAGUGUCAUUUCCACAAACGCAGGCAUCUGGAUGAAGCGUCCCCUCAAGGCCAUUUCUACAGGACUGUCUCCCUAAUACAACACUGCAAGUCGACUAGACGUCAAUUACACAAAACGGACUGUCCCCCCACACCAGUUCAACGUCAGCACUACCAGCGUUUUAGAAGGGACCAGUCUUUGCGAUGGGGAGGCUGCCCUUGACACCCCACGUGCCUCUCAGCUGUGACAACCAACAGUGUCUCGGGACACCACCAAAUGUCCCCUGGGGGCAAAACUGCCCCUGCUCGAGAACCGGGCCUUACAGGAACACAUCACGGCAGACAGACAAGACCCCCGCCCUGGCCAAAGUGUAACCAUCCACGUCGGAAAGGGCUGAGAAAAGGCAGCCUGGCCAUCACUUCCUAGGGCAUUAACGCUGCUGGGGCUCCGCCAGGACGCCACCCCUCUCGGAUCUGAGAUGCAGGAGGAGACCCAGGAGGGGACGAUGUCACCAGCAGACGUCCACUCUCCCAGAUACGGUCCACAUCGGGGCAGAAGACUCAGCCAAGCAAACGGAGCCCCAAGCCUCAGAGUCGCAAAGCCCACCGCCCAGCCACUCCCUAUCAGUUUUCUCUCUGCCACCAUGUACUUGGCUGAGCUUCUGGGAGAAGGAACGCACAGCUUAGUGCCUCAGAAUCUUGUUCAACGAACCACCCCAGCCCUUUCCUCUCCUCCUCUCGACAUCCUUAACCGAAAGGUGUCCUACGGUGCCAGACGCCCCAUGGAAAAAAUCAACCAAAGCUCAGGUCCUGCUCUCCAGGGCCUCGGGAACGUAGGCUACCCUGGCCGAGAGGCCUAGAAGAAUCUGCAGGCCAAGGCGAAGGUAGUGGGGUGAGAACGCCAGACACACACAGGAGGGGCAGUGGGGGCAGAGCCCGGGGACCUCGCAGGGCAGCAGACACGCUUCCGGGCUUUCAGAAGGAAAGAUCCUGUGUAACCACAGACUUGCUCGAGCACAGACGACGCUGGCUGCGGGGCUGACUAUAAAUCUGGUCCACUUGGGGCUGGGUGUGGCUCACUCCAGGCAGGCCCCCCACCAGCUACAGUUUUGCUAAAUUUAGUGCUGUUCCCAGCCACCCAAAGGACUCUGCGCUUCGUGUCGUGUCCAUUUCAGGUUCGCCCGGGGACAGGCGGAGCCGAGUGAGCCUUGUGGAGAGGAGAUCUGCCCUCGCGUGACCCUCUCCCUUCCCCGCUCGAGGCGGGGGCCCCGGGGAGCAGAAGACGUGAGAAACCCGCCGGAGGUCUCCAGGGCCAUGAGGCGUCUCUGCCCCACGGCAGCACUCGGGGUGGAAAGAGGGCUCUGAGGCCUCGUGACCGGCCCUCCCUCUGCCCGGUGCAGCUCACCCAGGCCUCACUCUGGGGUGGUCCCAGAUGCUGUGGGGUGAGAGGGGUCCUGCUCCCUCAGAUAGGAGGCUGGAGUGGCUCCCCAUGGAAUGCGGGGGCGGGGGGUGAUACUCCCUGGGGGAAGGCCCCUCUGCCUUGGAGAUAAGAACGUAUUCAACCAAAUACACAGAGACCCUAAAAUGCAGCAGUGGAGAUAGCAGUUUCUAAACCUGGCACGUUGAAAUCACCUGGGGAACUUCAGCAGCUACUCAUGCCUCAGUCCCACCCCCCAGAGCCUGUGAUGUAACUGCUCUCAGGCAGUAUAACUGGCCCAGGCUCUGGAAAUUUUAAAAGAUCCCCUGGUGAUUUCAGUGUUGAGACAAGUUUGGGAACCAGCGAGGCAAGAGCAUGGCCUCUGCCUUCAGGCUGUCCCAGCUGGACUCCUGACCCAAAUGGCAUCCUUGCUAUCUGACCGUGGGCAAGUCACUUCACCUUUCUAUGCCUCUGCCUCGUCAGCUGUGAGAUGCACACGGUAACAGCCACCGCGGAGCGUUGCUGGGAAGACUUCAGGACACCAUCCCGUAUGAAGCACACAGAACAGUGGUAUGCAGCAAGUGCUCACUAUGUGCAGGUAUGCAGUAAGUCAGGAAUCAUUAUUAUCGUUAUAAUGACGAACAGGAAGAGGAAAAAAAGAGGGAAGCUGAGAUCUGCCACUCUGGUGUCCGAGAAGCAAGCGGCGUCUCCAGGUCUGAAACUGGGGCUCUUUUAAGAAGUGGGAGGGAGGAGAAGGCUCCGGCCACCUGCACUUCCAGGGGGACCACCGCCCUCGCUGCCUCUGUUCCCACCGUUCCUCCCUCCCGCCGCCUUCCAUGUCCUCCCCUCUCCCCAUCCUUCGAAACCCCACCGCUCAGGCCCAGCUCUCCCUCCCUCCCCAGGUCUCCCGCAGUGCUGCCCCCCAAGUCUAUGGCUCUGGAACUUGAUAAUGCGCUACAGGGAACAGCGACCAGCCGAAUGCGUAGGUGUCUGGGAUGCACGAGGGCCCUGCUGCAUACCAGUCGGGUCUCCUCAAAAAGACAAAGAGCAACUGGGGGGAGGCCCGCGUCCCAGAUUGUAAGGUGCACGGGCAAUGAGUGUCCCUGUAGCCCCCAGCACCGUGCUGGACACGCGGCUCUUUGAUUAACCGGGAUGCGUGGAAUGGAAACACGUAUGGGGCCCGCAGAGCUAGCGGCCCCCCAGCAGGGAGCCAGGCUCGGUGCCCAGAAGAAGCAGCACUACCCCCCCAAACCCAGGGAACUCUGGGCUCCCAGCAACAUCACCCAAGGAGAGACCACCACCCCACUGCCUCCCCAGAGACGGCACCCACCGACUCCCAGGGCUGUGCGUGUAAGUGCUGACAGCAGAAGGAUUGCUUGCCAGGCCCCCUGCUAGUCCCAGGCCCCCGAGGCCACACGUCUGGUCACUCCCGCAAUGAAGCCCCCGAACCCCGCAACUCUCUCAACCCAACAACAGCCAGGCAAAGCCCAGCGCGGCCCCAGGCACGUCCAGAGCAGCUGGCCACCCAACAGGCCGUAAGCCUCUUACAGAUUACAGGUCCUAAUUUAAGCCUCUAUUUGAGGUACCGCAAGUGGGUCAGCGCUCGGCAGGCCGGUCAGCGCAGUGACCAGAGGAGAAGAACUCGGAUCAAGGAAAAGGCGCCUGGCCUUUGCGGGAAAGAGGGAGCCAGAGAACUACGGAGCUAAGCGGGAACUGGGAGGGGAGCGCUGGCUCACGGCCACCGACCAGGACUCCCCCUCCCAGCCGGUGUCAAUUCUAAACUCCCCACCGGAUGAACUUGAGAAACAGAACAGGGCACAGUAAUAAGCCAAGGACAGCGUUCCUCCCCCUACCCCGCCCUUGGUAUGGAUCAAGCCAGGAAGUAAGAGAAGAGGCACGGGGCUGGCCAUGCUGCCCUCCAGGGGGUCAUUCCUGGUGACAGGAGAGGAGAGGCGACCUCUGCCCCCAUCCCCAGUGACGUCUGCCUGGCCUCUCUCACCAGCUCUCUGCAGCAGGAAACCCAGGGCACAGGGAUGUGGGGGCAGGAGCAGGCGGGCAGCCGCAGACAAACCUCAGAUCAUGCUGGGAGAGGCUGACUCUGCUGCUCUUUAAAAAAAAAAAAAGCCCUCUCACCACAUCUGUCUCCUUAGAGAUGGCCUCUGGGGAAGUGGCUAGAACCCCCUGUCUACACUAAGACCAAAGCAAUCUUUCCAGCACUUUCU
rnacentral:lncRNA from 1 species